CCCUUAGAUGUUCUGGGCUGCACGCGCGCUACACUGAUGCGCUCAACGAGUUUAUAACCUUGUCCGGCAGGAUUGGGUAAUCUUUUUAAAACGCAUCGUGAUGGGGAUAGAUUAUUGCAAUUAUUAAUCUUCAACGAGGAAUUCCUAGUAAGCGCGAGUCAUCAGCUCGUGCUGAUUACGUCCCUGCCCUUUGUACACACCGCCCGUUGCUCCUACCGAUUGAGUGAUCCGGUGAAUAAUUCGGACUGCAGCAUUGUUCAGUUCCUGAACGUUGCAGCGGAAAGUUUAGUGAACCUUAUCACUUAGAGGAAGGAGAAGUCGUAACA
rnacentral:rRNA from 1 species